AAGCAGGCGCUUUUCAUUAGCAGCAGAAUCAAAAUGGGAAGCAGAGCUCUGUUACUGCUCAAAGUACCAUCGCCACCAAGGCAAAACUCAAUUUUCAACAACAGAAAAUUGAGCUCUGUUUCAGAGCUGCUUACUCAUUAUUAUAGUUAUAGGAUUCGAGGAUGCUCAACAAAAGCAGCACAUGGGUCCUCUCUUCAACCUCCAGAUAUGCCUCGUUUGGCUGAAACUGCUCGAAUUUCUCUCACUCCAAAUGAGGUUGAAGAAUUCGC
rnacentral:misc_RNA from 1 species